rnacentral:rRNA from 1 species
AGAUUGAACGCUGGCGGCAGGCCUAACACAUGCAAGUCGAGCGGUAGAGAGGUGCUUGCACCUCUUGAGAGCGGCGGACGGGUGAGUAAUGCCUAGGAAUCUGCCUAGUGGUGGGGGAUAACGUUCGGAAGCGGACGCUAAUACCGCAUACGUCCUACGGGAGAAAGCGGGGGACCUUCGGGCCUCGCGCCAUUAGAUGAGCCUAGGUCGGAUUAGCUAGUUGGUGAGGUAAUGGCUCACCAAGGCGACGAUCCGUAACUGGUCUGAGAGGAUGAUCAGUCACACUGGAACUGAGACACGGUCCAGACUCCUACGGGAGGCAGCAGUGGGGAAUAUUGGACAAUGGGCGAAAGCCUGAUCCAGCCAUGCCGCGUGUGUGAAGAAGGUCUUCGGAUUGUAAAAGCACUUUAAGUUGGUAGGAAGGUUGUAACUUAAUACGUUGCAACUUUGACGUUACCGACAGAAUAAAGCACCGGCUAACUUCGCGCCAGCAGCCG